UGGGGAAUAUUGCACAAUGGGCGCAAGCCUGAUGCAGCAACGCCGCGUGAGGGAUGACUGCCUUCGGGUUGUAAACCUCUUUUAGUAGGGAAGAAGCGAAAGUGACGGUACCUGCAGAAAAAGCACCGGCUAACUACGUGCCAGCAGCCGCGGUAAUACGUAGGGUGCAAGCGUUGUCCGGAAUUAUUGGGCGUAAAGAGCUCGUAGGCGGCUUGUCGCGUCUGCUGUGAAAUCCCGGGGCUCAACUCCGGGUCUGCAGUGGGUACGGGCAGGCUAGAGUGCGGUAGGGGAGAUUGGAACUCCUGGUGUAGCGGUGGAAUGCGCAGAUAUCAGGAAGAACACCGAUGGCGAAGGCAGAUCUCUGGGCCGCUACUGACGCUGAGGAGCGAAAGCAUGGGGAGCGAACAGG
rnacentral:rRNA from 1 species